CUACACGACCGUACCGCAAACCGACACUGGUGCGCGAGAUGAGUAUUCUAAGGCGCUUGAGAGAACUCAGGAGAAGGAACUCGGCAAAUUGACACCGUAACUUCGGAAGAAGGUGUGCCUUUAGUAGGUGAACCUGUACAAGGGGAGCCCAAUGAGGUUGCAAAAAAUCGGUGGCUGCGACUGUUUAAUAAAAACACAGCACUCUGCAAACACGAAAGUGGACGUAUAGGGUGUGACGCCUGCCCGGUGCUGGAAGAUUAAAUGAUGGGGUGCAAGCUCUUGAUUGAAGUCCCAGUAAACGGCGGCCGUAACAAUAACGGUCCUAAGGUAGCGAAAUUCCUUGUCGGGUAAGUUCCGACCUGCACGAAUGGCGUAACGAUGGCCACACUGUCUCCUCCUGAGACUCAGCGAAGUUGAAAUGUUUGUGAUGAUGCAAUCUCCCCGCGGAAAGACGGAAAGACCCCAUGAACCUUUACUGUAGCUUUGUAUUGGACUUUGAACAGAUCUGUGUAGGAUAGGUGGGAGGCUUUGAAGUGUGGUCGCUAGAUCGCAUGGAGCCAACGUUGAAAUACCACCCUGGUGUGUUUGAGGUUCUAACCUAGGCCCGUAAUCCGGGUCGGGGACAGUGCAUGGUAGGCAGUUUGACUGGGGCGGUCUCCUCCCAAAGCGUAACGGAGGAGUUCGAAGGUACGCUAGGUACGGUCGGACAUCGUGCUAAUAGUGCAAUGGCAUAAGCGUGCUUAACUGCGAGACUGACAAGUCGAGCAGAUGCGAAAGCAGGACAUAGUGAUCCGGUGGUUCUGUAUGGAAGGGCCAUCGCUCAACGGAUAAAAGGUACUCUGGGGAUAACAGGCUGAUACCGCCCAAGAGUUCAUAUCGACGGCGGUGUUUGGCACCUCGAUGUCGGCUCAUCUCAUCCUGGGGCUGUAGCCGGUCCCAAGGGUAUGGCUGUUCGCCAUUUAAAGAGGUACGUGAGCUGGGUUUAAAACGUCGUGAGACAGUUUGGUCCCUAUCUUCCGUGGGCGCUGCAGAUUUGAGGAAGCCUGCUCCUAGUACGAGAGGACCGGAGUGGACACACCUCUGGUGUAUCGGUUGUCACGCCAGUGGCAUUGCCGAGUAGCUAUGUGUGGAAGAGAUAACCGCUGAAAGCAUCUAAGCGGGAAACUCGUUUCAAGAUGAGAUCUGCCGGGGCCUUGAGCCCCCUAAAGAGUCGUUCAAGACCAGGACGUUGAUAGGUCGGGUGUGGAAGCGCAGUAAUGCGUUAAGCUAACCGAUACUAAUUGCUCGUGCGGCUUGACCU
rnacentral:rRNA from 1 species